GUUCAAAGCAGGCAGAUCCAAUUUUCUGCCACCGAAUACAUUAGCAUGGGAUAAUGGAAUAGGACCCUGUCCUCCUAUUUUCAGUUGGUUUUGGCAGCGCGAGGACUAGGGUGAUGAUUAAUAGGGAUAGUUGGGGGCAUUAAUAUUUAAUUGUCAGAGGUGAAAUUCUUGGAUUUAUGAAAGAUUAACUUCUGCGAAAGCAUCUGCCAAGGAUGUUUUCAUUAAUCAAGAACGAAAGUUAGGGGAUCGAAGACGAUCAGAUACCGUCGUAGUCUUAACCAUAAAAGAUGCCGACCAGCGAUUAGGAGACGUUGAAUACAMAACUCCCCAUCGGCGCGGUCGUCCUUGKCGCCGUCCCGUUUCCCCCGGGRCCGMGCGGGGCGGCUURCCCAACCUUAUCCAA
rnacentral:rRNA from 1 species